rnacentral:lncRNA from 1 species
AAGCAUUUUCUCCUCCCUCCCUCUUUUUCUCUUCUCUUUCUCCCUCCCUUUCUCCCUCUCUUUCUCCUUUCUCCCCCCCAAACAUUGAACAGAUCUUUGUUGUUCCCCACACUGUCACGGUCUCGUUCUUGGUGACUCUCCCACUCCGGCUCACACUCCCACUCUUGCUCACACUCAGGCUCCCAUUCUCGCCGUUACUGUUGCUGUUGGUCUUGGCCUUUCUUCCAACUCACACUCACGCCUGAACUUGCUCUCACUUUCGCUUUAGUUCCCGGCUCCGACUUUCACUCUUCUCAUUAAGGUUACUCAACUUUAAACUUAGUCUUGUAUUUGUUAAAGUGAUUUAGAUCUGUAAUUUGUUAUAUUUGGGGAAAACAAUUUGUUAAUGACAUAGUGUAGAAAUAUAAUGCUUACAUAAUAUUUGACAAAAUGCCACAAAGAACUAUAGAACUAUUUGUCAUCUUUUAAGAUAAUAGGUUAAUUUUUUUUUUUUUGUUGACAAAAUGUUGUAGCCGCGUUUUCAAAUUAGGGAUUUUCGAGCUGCUGCUGUCGAUGUUAUUCAAGUUCGAGCUGCUGCUACUGUCUUCAAGUUCGAGCGCGGAGACUGUACUACGAGGAGUUGACGACGUGAGAAAAACGGCGAAUUAGCUGCCUCAUCUUCAACUUAAAGGUAAAUUUUGGUGGAAUUUGAGUUGAAAUUGAGUGAGUUUGAGUGGGAAGACGAGGUUUUGAGAGAAAGAAAAGGGGUGUUUGGUUGGCGAGAAAGUGAGAGAAAAUUUUUGGACUUGGAAAGUGAUGGGUUCUUUGUUUUUACUUCUUUAUUGUUCUUUAUUGAGUAGAUGUUGACGGUACAAGCAUUAUAAUUAAGAUUUUCAACGGCAAAUAUAGAGAAAUAGAAGCAAACUUUGAUUCAGAGUAUGUAGCAGCAUUUUUUGGUACUUAGUUUUUUUGGGGAAGCAUUAGAUACUAAUUAUUGUAGGUUUGUGGUCUGAACAGUAGCUAAAACCUUAACCAUAGUUUGAGGUUUCUUUUCUGGAACCAUUCAUGGUAAUUUCAGGCAGAGAUUGUGCAUCAUGUGCAGGAUGUCCGUGUCUCUUCAAUAGAAAGCUUUCAAGUUUGCAGUCUUACAAUGUAAUGAUUUGGUAAAGCAUUACAAUUUGUACAUGUGCUGUCAUCUUUUGCACUCCUAUAUUUUCCUUAAUUAAUUAAUGGAAAAACUUGAGGUUCUCACUGCUCUAACAUUUGCUCAGAAGCAUGUUGAUAUUGCAAUAUCCAGGUGAUAUGUAAUUUUCACCUUAUUUUUUUAUUUCAGCAUUUUUCUGGGUACUAUUUCAUACACACAAGGGCUUGCACUCAUGCUUUUUUAUCCUUCGAUAAACUUUGUAUCCAAAUAUCCUUUUCUUACCCAAUUAAAGAAGAGAGCAUGCUAAUGAUAAGUUUGCUUGCUUUUGAUGUAACAGGCCAUGCUGGUAGUGCCCAGGAUGCAGUAAAUAUCAUUUCUAGUUGAUAUAAUGGACUGAGUAUGCAUUCAUUUAAGUUGUUUCAUGAAGAUAGAGUGAAUUCUAUUAAAUUGGCUCUUCCCUUGUUUUUUUUUAUAUUUAUUUUAAGGUAUUAUUAUGAAGAUUCUAUUAAACUUUAUUUUCAUUCGUUUUCUUUUACGAAAUUAAAAAUUAUACCCAAUUGGAAUUAUACACUACUCGUCCUUGAGAGGAUUAUGUAGACAGACAAAAGAAUAAAAGGAAUUUAGAGAAACUCAUGUGUUAGGAAGAGCUAGCCUAGGGAUGAAAGAAUUAUGCACAUGACCUUCCGAUUGCAAGUAUGAACUUGGUGAAAAUUAAGAAACUUUUUUUAUAUUAUUAUUAUUUAACAUUUUCAACGUGAUUUCCAAUAGUUCGCACAUUUGCUUUUGAUCUUUUUUUUUUUCUUUUUAUAGAUCUUUAACAUUUUAUUUUUACUUCUUAUUUUAUUUAUUUUAUUUUUGCAGCAUACUUCUUUAUGUUAUUCUGAGGACACUACACAACAGAGCUUGAACUUCUGAAGAGUUUAGAUCAAGUUUUUGACAUUUUGUUUAUUUUGUAUUGUCAAUAUAUAUAUAUAAUACUAUAAUGUUAUUUAAUUAAUAAAGUGGAAUUUUUUUUAAUUAUAUGUUUCGUGUUUUUUAGUUUGUAUUUUAUGCAUUUGUUUGAGAGCUUCCAAAUUAAUUUAAAAAUAUAUUAUGUUAAAAAUAUUAAAUUACUUAAAAAAACUAAUUCACAACAUGCAUCUGCAUGUUAUAGAAGACAACAUUUACAGCAUGUGGUUAAAAACUUUUAAGCAACAAGCAAAUAACUUUCAAC